UGGGGAAUAUUGGACAAUGGGGGCAACCCUGAUCCAGCAAUGCCGCGUGUGUGAAGAAGGUCUUCGGAUUGUAAAGCACUUUCGACGGGGACGAUGAUGACGGUACCCGUAGAAGAAGCCCCGGCUAACUUCGUGCCAGCAGCCGCGGUAAUACGAAGGGGGCUAGCGUUGCUCGGAAUGACUGGGCGUAAAGGGCGUGUAGGCGGUUUACACAGUCAGAUGUGAAAUCCCCGGGCUUAACCUGGGAGCUGCAUUUGAUACGUGUAGACUAGAGUGUGAGAGAGGGUUGUGGAGUUCCCAGUGUAGAGGUGAAAUUCGUAGAUAUUGGGAAGAACACCGGUGGCGAAGGCGGCAACCUGGCUCAUUACUGACGCUGAGGCGCGAAAGCGUGGGGAGCAAACAGGAUUAGAUACCCUGGUAGUCCACGCUGUAAACGAUGUGUGCUAGAUGUUGGGUAACUUUGGUUAUUCAGUGUCGCAGUUAACGCGUU
rnacentral:rRNA from 1 species